rnacentral:rRNA from 1 species
GACGAACGCUGGCGGCGUGCUUAACACAUGCAAGUCGAACGGAAAGGCCCCUUCGGGGGUACUCGAGUGGCGAACAGGUGCGUAACACGUGAGUAACCUGCCCUUGACUUCGGGAUAACUUCAGGAAACUGGGGCUAAUACCGGAUAGGAAUCCUUGCUGCAUGGUGGGGGUUGGAAAGCUUCGGCGGUUUUGGAUGGACUCGCGGCUUAUCAGCUUGUUGGUGGGGUAGUGGCUUACCAAGGCUUUGACGGGUAGCCGGCCUGAGAGGGCGACCGGCCACAUUGGGACUGAGAUACGGCCCAGACUCCUACGGGAGGCAGCAGUGGGGAAUAUUGCACAAUGGGCGGAAGCCUGAUGCAGCAACGCCGCGGGCGGGAUGACGGCCUUCGGGUUGUAAACCGCUUUCAGCAGGGGCGAAGCUUGUGGUGACGGUACCUGCAGAAGAAGCACCGGCUAACUACGUG